GGAAAUUCACAGGUUUCAGCGUAAGACACGGAAGCCAUAUUACGGACAGUCGAGCUUCAGCAGCUCGACCCCUGUGUCCUGCCCAACAGACGUGGCGCCAUGGCCCCCAAACUCAUCACCCUCCUGUGUCUAGGAAUCUGCCUGCCUGCCAGGAUCUGCACACACGCGGGUGAGUCCUACCCCAGUCCGAGGAUACUGUGUUGCCCAAACACGAAGGGUUCUCCCAGGCAGGGAGGGCAGACGUGGAAUCGGGCAGAGGCAGAUGAUGUGGGGAGGGCUUUGCAGAGAGCCCUGGGAACACAGGAAGGGGGGACUCUGGAAACCCCAGGCUCCAUUUUGUUCUAGAGACCCUUUGUAG
rnacentral:lncRNA from 1 species